rnacentral:rRNA from 1 species
AAAUCCCCGGGCUCAACCUGGGANCUGCGUUCGAAACUGCAAGGCUAGAGUGUGUCAGAGGGGGGUAGAAUUCCACGUGUAGCAGUGAAAUGCGUAGAGAUGUGGAGGAAUACCAAUGGCGAAGCANGCCCCCUNGGAUAACACUGACNCUCAUGCACGAAANCNUNGGGAGCAAACAGGAUUAGAUACCCUNGUAGUCCACNCCCUAAACNAUGUCAACUAGUUGUUGGUAGAGUAAAAUCUAUGAGUAACNUAGCUAAC